AUUGAACGCUGGCGGCAGGCCUAACACAUGCAAGUCGAGCGGAUGAAGGGAGCUUGCUCCUGGAUUCAGCGGCGGACGGGUGAGUAAUGCCUAGGAAUCUGCCUGGUAGUGGGGGAUAACGUCCGGAAACGGGCGCUAAUACCGCAUACGUCCUGAGGGAGAAAGUGGGGGAUCUUCGGACCUCACGCUAUCAGAUGAGCCUAGGUCGGAUUAGCUAGUUGGUGGGGUAAAGGCCUACCAAGGCGACGAUCCGUAACUGGUCUGAGAGGAUGAUCAGUCACACUGGAACUGAGACACGGUCCAGACUCCUACGGGAGGCAGCAGUGGGGAAUAGUGGACAAAGGGCGAAAGCCUGAUCCAGCCAUGCCGCGUGUGUGAAGAAGGUCUUCGGAUUGUAAAGCACUUUAAGUUGGGAGGAAGGGCAGUAAGUUAAUACCUUGCUGUUUUGACGUUACCAACAGAAUAAGCACCGGCUAACUUCGUG
rnacentral:rRNA from 1 species